AAUUCGACGAUACACGAAGAACCUUACCUGGACUUGACAUAGUAAGAACUUUCUAGAGAUAGAUUGGUGUCUGCUUGCAGAAACUUAUAUACAGGUGCUGCACGGCUGUCGUCAGCUCGUGUCGUGAGAUGUUGGGUUAAGUCCCGCAACGAGCGCAACCCUCGUGUUUAGUCGCUAACAGUUCGGCUGAGAACUCUAAACAGACUGCCUACGCAAGUAGGAGGAAGGUGAGGACGACGUCAAGUCAUCAUGGCCCUUACGUCCAGGGCUACACACGUGCUACAAUGGGAUAUACAAAGAGCGGCAAUACGGUGACGUGGAGCAAAUCUUAUAAAAUAUCUCCCAGUUCGGAUUGUAGUCUGCAACUCGACUACAUGAAGUUGGAAUCGCUAGUAAUCGUAGAUCAGCUAU
rnacentral:rRNA from 1 species